rnacentral:rRNA from 1 species
UACAGAGGUCCCGAGCGUUGUUCGGAUUCAUUGGGCGUAAAGGGUGCGUAGGUGGCGGGGUAAGUCGGAUGUGAAAUCUCGGAGCUCAACUCCGAAAUGGCAUUGGAAACUACCCUGCUAGAGGGUCGGAGGGGGGACUGGAAUACUUGGUGUAGCAGUGAAAUGCGUAGAUAUCAAGUGGAACACCAGUGGCGAAGGCGAGUCCCUGGACGACUCCUGACACUGAGGCACGAAAGCUAGGGGAGCAAACAGG